rnacentral:rRNA from 1 species
UAGGGAAUCUUCGGCAAUGGACGAAAGUCUGACCGAGCAACGCCGCGUGAGUGAAGAAGGUUUUCGGAUCGUAAAACUCUGUUGUUAGAGAAGAACAAGGACGUUAGUAACUGAACGUCCCCUGACGGUAUCUAACCAGAAAGCCACGGCUAACUACGUGCCAGCAGCCGCGGUAAUACGUAGGUGGCAAGCGUUGUCCGGAUUUAUUGGGCGUAAAGCGAGCGCAGGCGGUUUCUUAAGUCUGAUGUGAAAGCCCCCGGCUCAACCGGGGAGGGUCAUUGGAAACUGGGAGAAUAGAGUGCAGAAGAGGAGAGUGGAAUUCCAUGUGUAGCGGUGAAAUGCGUAGAUAUAUGGAGGAACACCAGUGGCGAAGGCGGCUCUCUGGUCUGUAACUGACGCUGAGGCGCGAAAGCGUGGGGAGCAAACAGG